rnacentral:rRNA from 1 species
GGGUUGUGAGGUUAAGCGACUAAGCGUACACGGUGGAUGCCCUGGCAGUCAGAGGCGAUGAAGGACGUGCUAAUCUGCGAUAAGCGUCGGUAAGGUGAUAUGAACCGUUAUAACCGGCGAUUUCCGAAUGGGGAAACCCAGUGUGAUUCGUCACACUAUCAUUAACUGAAUCCAUAGGUUAAUGAGGCGAACCGGGGGAACUGAAACAUCUAAGUACCCCGAGGAAAAGAAAUCAACCGAGAUUCCCCCAGUAGCGGCGAGCGAACGGGGAGCAGCCCAGAGCCUGAAUCAGUGUGUGUGUUAGUGGAAGCGUCUGGAAAGGCGUGCGAUACAGGGUGACAGCCCCGUACACAAAAAUGCACAUGCUGUGAGCUCGAUGAGUAGGGCGGGACACGUGGUAUCCUGUCUGAAUAUGGGGGGACCAUCCUCCAAGGCUAAAUACUCCUGACUGACCGAUAGUGAACCAGUACCGUGAGGGAAAGGCGAAAAGAACCCCGGCGAGGGGAGUGAAAAAGAACCUGAAACCGUGUACGUACAAGCAGUGGGAGCACGCUUAGGCGUGUGACUGCGUACCUUUUGUAUAAUGGGUCAGCGACUUAUAUUCUGUAGCAAGGUUAACCGAAUAGGGGAGCCGAAGGGAAACCGAGUCUUAACUGGGCGUUAAGUUGCAGGGUAUAGACCCGAAACCCGGUGAUCUAGCCAUGGGCAGGUUGAAGGUUGGGUAACACUAACUGGAGGACCGAACCGACUAAUGUUGAAAAAUUAGCGGAUGACUUGUGGCUGGGGGUGAAAGGCCAAUCAAACCGGGAGAUAGCUGGUUCUCCCCGAAAGCUAUUUAGGUAGCGCCUCGUGAAUUCAUCUCCGGGGGUAGAGCACUGUUUCGGCAAGGGGGUCAUCCCGACUUACCAACCCGAUGCAAACUGCGAAUACCGGAGAAUGUUAUCACGGGAGACACACGGCGGGUGCUAACGUCCGUCGUGAAGAGGGAAACAACCCAGACCGCCAGCUAAGGUCCCAAAGUCAUGGUUAAGUGGGAAACGAUGUGGGAAGGCCCAGACAGCCAGGAUGUUGGCUUAGAAGCAGCCAUCAUUUAAAGAAAGCGUAAUAGCUCACUGGUCGAGUCGGCCUGCGCGGAAGAUGUAACGGGGCUAAACCAUGCACCGAAGCUGCGGCAGCGACACUGUGUGUUGUUGGGUAGGGGAGCGUUCUGUAAGCCUGCGAAGGUGUGCUGUGAGGCAUGCUGGAGGUAUCAGAAGUGCGAAUGCUGACAUAAGUAACGAUAAAGCGGGUGAAAAGCCCGCUCGCCGGAAGACCAAGGGUUCCUGUCCAACGUUAAUCGGGGCAGGGUGAGUCGACCCCUAAGGCGAGGCCGAAAGGCGUAGUCGAUGGGAAACAGGUUAAUAUUCCUGUACUUGGUGUUACUGCGAAGGGGGGACGGAGAAGGCUAUGUUGGCCGGGCGACGGUUGUCCCGGUUUAAGCGUGUAGGCUGGUUUUCCAGGCAAAUCCGGAAAAUCAAGGCUGAGGCGUGAUGACGAGGCACUACGGUGCUGAAGCAACAAAUGCCCUGCUUCCAGGAAAAGCCUCUAAGCAUCAGGUAACAUCAAAUCGUACCCCAAACCGACACAGGUGGUCAGGUAGAGAAUACCAAGGCGCUUGAGAGAACUCGGGUGAAGGAACUAGGCAAAAUGGUGCCGUAACUUCGGGAGAAGGCACGCUGAUAUGUAGGUGAAGUCCCUCGCGGAUGGAGCUGAAAUCAGUCGAAGAUACCAGCUGGCUGCAACUGUUUAUUAAAAACACAGCACUGUGCAAACACGAAAGUGGACGUAUACGGUGUGACGCCUGCCCGGUGCCGGAAGGUUAAUUGAUGGGGUCAGCGCAAGCGAAGCUCUUGAUCGAAGCCCCGGUAAACGGCGGCCGUAACUAUAACGGUCCUAAGGUAGCGAAAUUCCUUGUCGGGUAAGUUCCGACCUGCACGAAUGGCGUAAUGAUGGCCAGGCUGUCUCCACCCGAGACUCAGUGAAAUUGAACUCGCUGUGAAGAUGCAGUGUACCCGCGGCAAGACGGAAAGACCCCGUGAACCUUUACUAUAGCUUGACACUGAACAUUGAGCCUUGAUGUGUAGGAUAGGUGGGAGGCUUUGAAGUGUGGACGCCAGUCUGCAUGGAGCCGGCCUUGAAAUACCACCCUUUAAUGUUUGAUGUUCUAACGUUGACCCGUGAUCCGGGUUGCGGACAGUGUCUGGUGGGUAGUUUGACUGGGGCGGUCUCCUCCUAAAGAGUAACGGAGGAGCACGAAGGUUGGCUAAUCCUGGUCGGACAUCAGGAGGUUAGUGCAAUGGCAUAAGCCAGCUUGACUGCGAGCGUGACGGCGCGAGCAGGUGCGAAAGCAGGUCAUAGUGAUCCGGUGGUUCUGAAUGGAAGGGCCAUCGCUCAACGGAUAAAAGGUACUCCGGGGAUAACAGGCUGAUACCGCCCAAGAGUUCAUAUCGACGGCGGUGUUUGGCACCUCGAUGUCGGCUCAUCACAUCCUGGGGCUGAAGUAGGUCCCAAGGGUAUGGCUGUUCGCCAUUUAAAGUGGUACGCGAGCUGGGUUUAGAACGUCGUGAGACAGUUCGGUCCCUAUCUGCCGUGGGCGCUGGAGAACUGAGGGGGGCUGCUCCUAGUACGAGAGGACCGGAGUGGACGCAUCACUGGUGUUCGGGUUGUCAUGCCAAUGGCACUGCCCGGUAGCUAAAUGCGGAAGAGAUAAGUGCUGAAAGCAUCUAAGCACGAAACUUGCCCCGAGAUGAGUUCUCCCUGACUCCUUGAGAGUCCUGAAGGAACGUUGAAGACGACGACGUUGAUAGGCCGGGUGUGUAAGCGCAGCGAUGCGUUGAGCUAACCGGUACUAAUGAACCGUGAGGCUUAACCUUACAACGCCGAAG